AGAGCAAGAGAAGGUUCUAAAUUCAAAUCUCGACCAGCUCCCAGUUUCGUAUAAUUUUCUAUCAUUUAAUUUAUGCCAACUUCGUGGGAGUGAAUGUUUUGAAUAUAAAAUAUUAAAAAUAUUAUUCUGCAAAGUUUUUGCAGAUUAUUUAUAGGCUAGCAAUCUAUCAAAUACAUGAAAGGGCAUUUUUUAAACUAUGUAUGUGCACUUAUAAUAGAACUAGGCUGAAAUACUAUCAAUAACACCAAACAAUUAGUGCUAUUAGUUUUUUAGCCCUUGGAUUGAGAAAUGUGUGGUUAGGAUGACGUGGGCCGCAUAAGGUUGAGUGGGUGGUUGGUUGAAUAGUAUAAUUUAACGGGUAAAAAUAAAUAAAGAGUUAAAUCUAGUGGUGGAAAACUCGAUAGUACCAAAUCCUUGGUGCUAUUGAUAGUAUCACAGCCGGACUCCCUAUAAUAACCCUCCACAUUAUAUUU
rnacentral:lncRNA from 1 species